CAAGAAAUCCAGGAUUGGGCCAAAAGGAAUCUCAUGAGGUUCAACAAGAACUAGUGCAGAUUCCUGAAUUUAGGAUGAAACAAUUCCAUGCACUAGUAUAGGCUGGGGGCUGACUGGUUGGGCAGCAGCUCUGCA